AUUGUGCAAACUUUUAUUUGAACUUAAAAAGCGGAAAUCAGAUUGAUUAUCGUUUGGGUAAAUACUACAAUUUAAAAGUAGAUGGCCUUCUAUUGAAUGCAAUUUUAGAUAACUAUCGUUUGCCAAAGUGGGUAUACAUGUAGACGUUUAUUUGUCGUUUUCGCUUAUUAUUUUACGUUUGUCAUCAUAUAUUAUUUCAUCGACUUAGUCAUUGCAGGCAAUUGUUGCGCACUUAUGUAAGAUUUAUUCAAAACUCUAAAGUAUUACACCUAAGCGAUGAUUUCACUCGAUGAUCUUGAAGUCAAAUGGACUCCUGCGAGUGACCUACUCUCAACCGCAAGGACUCGCGCGUUUGGACCUCGAUCACAAUUGAUCACAUCGCUCUAAAUCCUUCGAGGAUGCGUGACACAUGGGGAUAUCUAAAAGUUACGUAUUUGACGUAUUGUUUAUGCCGGGAAAUGCAGGAGGCAAUUUGCGACGCAUUGAACGCAUUAUCAGCUUAUCAGCCAAACAUUUAUGGACACACUUCCGACGUCGAACUGCUGGAUAUCUUGCUGUACGUUUAAUUAUACCACAAAAGCGGCCAUGAAAUGAUUAUAAGCGUGAGAAUCGUGACGCUCGCUUCUACGAUUGCCACUUCACGAAGCAUUACAAUGCUUCGUGUGAUGUUUCGAAAAUCGAGGAGUUUUAGCAGAGCCACCUCGAGAUAAACAAAAUCAAUUACUCGUGGAUCUUGUGCUCCACGAGUACUAUAGUAUACCGACCUCGAUAGUCCUCUACCAGGACUAUAUGACUUUUAGAUAUUUACUAGCAUAUGGCGGCACCUAUGAUGCGGCGGUCGUCGAACAAAUUAGUUUGCCGUAUCGACUGUUGGUAGCCUAUCGUGUCCAACAAUACCAAACGAAUCCUAUUCAUUAUCGUCUAUUAUUGGAUUUGCAACUAAUUGCGUAACGCAAUGGGCACAGUUAUUAGCUACAUAGUAACUCGUCAUUAAAUAAAGACUGCAAAUAUUUUAUUGCACAUCUAGUUUGUGGACUACACAGUAUUUGUAUCUAAGUUGGUGGCGCUGUUGUUCCCAUGAAGCAAAUGUGAUACACGCACAGACGGGCACGCUAAUUAGUGAAAUCGGUGAGAAAUCGAGGAACGAAUGUUAUCUGCCUUCGCUGGUCCCUGGUGUUGUUUUGAAAAAAUAAAUUAUACAAAGGUUCGGGUACAGAUCGAUCUCUAUGGCAUAGCGAUGGAUCUGUAGGCGCGCGAAGUAAGAGGAAGCUCAGUCGAUAGGAAAUUUUUGUCGUAUAACGUGUCGGCGCCAACUUCUGACAAGCUAGCCAGCUAUAACACACCAGACGAGGGGGUUCAUACAUGUUUAGCACGUUGACUGUCCGAUUGAAUCAUUACCGCUUCGUAGCCCAAAGCGGCAGAGGAUUCGACGCUUCCAGAGAUUUUCACGCUUCGGCGGGAAACGCAGUCUGUCUAAUCAAAUUGAACGACGUUUCACGGAAGACCACAUAGCUGGCGAAAAAUAUUCAAGUCCAUAAACGAGGAUCAAUCGCGAAGUGAAGCGUCUCAGGAGGUUCUUCUCAAAUGAAAGCACGCGAUGGGUGGACUUUACAAUAUCCAUUAGGGAGAGUUCGAAAACGAUAAGGAGCUGAGAAGCGAGCUAAAAAUUUCGAAACGUGCACGAGUUCUAUUUCGUUGUAACAACAUUUACGCGUCUAAUAAAAACAUGUCCCGGUGUGUCGUUUGCAAUUUCCUCUUGCUCGCCCGCAGCGCGGAUUAGACUGGCCAUCUGUGCUUUUCACGAGUCACAGGGUCGAAUUUCUCCAAUAACUUUAUUUCCAGCCUGUUUCAUAUGACUUCUCGAUCGAGCGUGCCAGAAUGAAACGCUUUAAAUUAUUUCCCACACUCGCAUUUUCGUUCUGUUAAACAAGAGAAACGAAUUCUUUCGCGACGUGGACGUUUCGCAAAAAAGGUACGAAGUGAAAGUUUCGUUUGCCAAGGUUAUCGCUUGGUCAUUGUGGAAAGAUAAGCAAAACGGAAGUGUGCGAUGAGUAACAAGAAUCAUCGAAUCGGGCAUUGUUCGACGCGGUUCAAUGGAAAAACAAACCGCUACGCAAAUUAAUAACGACCGGAAGAAAAAAGUGUGUCGCGCGUGGAAUUAUCAAUAGCAAGCGGAGUAACGUUUUUGCAGAGGAUGCGAAGCUGCGUCGACGUGGAAACACGACAAGGCCGUCGAUCAUUUUCAAUCCUACGCACACGCUCGCCGUGUAUUUAUUCAUGACUCUGGAUACGUGGUUAAUUACUCGAGUCCAUUGCCGAUAUUUUCGCAACGUUACGAUUCCAUUAAGCGUUGGUGAUUUUCCAGGGAACGGAUGUCAUUCUAUAUGCUGCGAAAAACUGACGCUGUAACGCACAAUUCGGAAUUAUUAAUCUGGAAUACUAUAAAUUACCAUGUUCGUUUUCUCUAUGAAAUUAAAAAAUUAAUUCUGAAAAUCAGGUGUUAAAAAGAAAAACAAGUCUGGAUAGGAUUCGUAAAUUUCGAUCGGGUUGUAAACCUAAAUACUAACGCGAACGCUUGUUUAUAUGUACAGUGUCCAAUUGUAUAAAAACAAAAUUUUAGCUUCAUAAGUGUAUUCACGAAUAUGUCUAAAACUGAAAGUGUUGAUCCAACAGACUAUUACAGUGAAACGUAAAAGAUGUCGUUUCGUCGCAAUCGUGCGUAAAGCCUGUUACAGAGUCAGGUAACGUAAAUUUUAAAAAAGAAUUUGUACAAAAAAGGCAAAGCGCGAUUCGCAGUCGACGCACGUGCGAGCGAGAAAAGUCCGCUGAUUCAGACUACGUGGCCACGAAAGAAACCGCGAGAUCGUGACGAUUCCCCGAAGGAUCUGUGCGUUAAAUUCAUGGACGUAUCCAUUAAGACCUGGGUGCCAUGGCGAACUCUCGAAAGGACAAUUCGCGAGCGACUGUGGUUUGCAUUUCUCGAAGGCUGCCGCGACGCAAUGUUUACUCUAACAAUAAGUCGGACAUUGGGAAACACACGAAUGGCGUUUGCUUCGUCCUCCCGAUCUGUGAAGUCUUGGACGACUGCGUACAGUCGACACAUUUUUGUUGCUCCGUGCAAAUUUAUCGAUAAUAUAGGGCAUAAAAAUGUGAGCAAAGUAAGGUAAGAAUGCCUUGACGGCAUUCAAAGGAAUUUUGAAGUUCAUGAGUUUUGAUGAAGUUACGAAAAUAAAUACCACGAUAAAUGUUUGAUUAUGUAAUCUCUGAUAGUUUAACUAAUAUUUAAUCCUAGCAGAAAUUUUUGCCUGGCUACGCUGUAAGUGCUAUUCCACGAAGCGACACUUGUCGAUUCUAUCGUAGGAAAAUUUCGAUACCUUUGGACGAAUCUAUAAAUAUAAAUAAAUGGUAUUCUAUGAAUGGUGGUCUAUUGACUUUGCAAACGUGUCGCGUACCUACGAUAUCGAUAUGACAAUAAUAUCCCACUGUACGUGUUCAGGCGAACCCGUUACAUUGCUGGAUAAAACACAAUGUCCUUGCGCACUGCCUAAUUAACAAAUGAGAACUCGAUUGCUGGGUACGGAGAUGGAAGAGGGGAGGGUGUCAAUUAGCCCGACAUUCUUGCACGUCCGUCCAACGCUUCUAACCACUGAAAAUGGCGCAGCAUCUACGGGACAAAUGCGACUAAUUCGCACCGGCAAUAUUAAUAAGCUUUCAAUUAGCAUAAAUCUGUAAUUCCGGUCAUUCUGUUAGUCUAGUUCUCUACAUGGCCGCGCAGCCAACCGACACCUCGUUAAGAGAACUUGGGUGUUCGAACGUUUUCGGAAUCCGUUUUGUCCUUAAUUGGUAAUCCUCGUCAUCUUUGGCAGAUCUAUCCAGAAACCCUCGUCGACCAAUUAGCUGGCGCGAUCUGUUAGGUUGUACCACUAGUUUCUUUCGUUCUAUUAAUAACUAGUACACAAUAUUUUAUUAACUAUUUGUAAGAGAUAAGGCUGUUCAUUUAAAUCGCAGAAAGUAAGCAAUGACGAGUAUACCGAAAAAAAGAUUUGUUUAAAAUAAAAUAAAAUUCAGCGAAAUCAAUUGAACUUUAUUACUCUUCUCUUUUCUACCGAUUCAACAACUAAUCGGAGAUGCGAAGUUCGAGGGGCAUCUAACGACGACCUAUGGUCAAAAAGUAUCGCUGGCUGCCACGAACUGUGACCAGUACAGCGUAACUGUUGACUCACGGUCAUGUGACCUGUACCAUAAUGUUAUAACAGUAAUAAAGUACGUGUAUAGUGGCGGUGCCUGUAAUAGGUGCCAGCCGUUUCGACAUCACGGUUAUCCAGUUGCUUCUAGACGUCCAUAGGAUCAUUUUUAUUCAUGGCUGUUUUCAUCGUCAUCAUCGUUGAAGUCAUUCAGACGCGGUACCGGGUCUCGCUAUGGUCUUCACGUUU